rnacentral:rRNA from 1 species
UACGGGGGGAGCAAGCGUUGUUCGGAAUUACUGGGCGUAAAGGGCGCGUAGGCGGCCACUGCAAGUCGGUUGUGAAAUCUCCGGGCUUAACCCGGAAAGGUCAACCGAUACUGCAGGGCUAGAGUGCAGAAGGGGCAACUGGAAUUCUCGGUGUAGCGGUGAAAUGCGUAGAUAUCGAGAGGAACACCUGCGGCGAAGGCGGGUUGCUGGGCUGACACUGACGCUGAUGCGCGAAAGCUAGGGGAGCGAACGGG